CGUUAGUUCAGUCGGUUAGAAUACCGGCCUGUCACGCCGGGGGUCGCGGGUUCGAGUCCCGUCCGCUGCGCCA
rnacentral:tRNA from 1 species